rnacentral:rRNA from 2 species
GCCGAGCGGUAGAGAUUCUUCGGAAUCUUGAGAGCGGCGUACGGGUGCGGAACACGUGUGCAACCUACCUUUAUCAGGGGGAUAGCCUUUCGAAAGGAAGAUUAAUACCCCAUAAUAUAUUGAAUGGCAUCAUUUAAUAUUGAAAACUCCGGUGGAUAGAGAUGGGCACGCGCAAGAUUAGAUAGUUGGUAGGGUAACGGCCUACCAAGUCAGUGAUCUUUAGGGGGCCUGAGAGGGUGAUCCCCCACACUGGUACUGAGACACGGACCAGACUCCUACGGGAGGCAGCAGUGAGGAAUAUUGGACAAUGGGUGAGAGCCUGAUCCAGCCAUCCCGCGUGAAGGACGACGGCCCUAUGGGUUGUAAACUUCUUUUGUAUAGGGAUAAACCUACUCUCGUGAGAGUAGCUGAAGGUACUAUACGAAUAAGCACCGGCUAACUCCGUGCCAGCAGCCGCGGUAAUACGGAGGGUGCAAGCGUUAUCCGGAUUUAUUGGGUUUAAAGGGUCCGUAGGCGGAUCUGUAAGUCAGUGGUGAAAUCUCAUAGCUUAACUAUGAAACUGCCAUUGAUACUGCAGGUCUUGAGUAAAGUAGAAGUGGCUGGAAUAAGUAGUGUAGCGGUGAAAUGCAUAGAUAUUACUUAGAACACCAAUUGCGAAGGCAGGUCACUAUGUUUUAACUGACGCUGAUGG